rnacentral:lncRNA from 1 species
AUAAUAAUAUCUGGGGUUUAACAGGACGGUCAACUGACCAGGACAAGUGAUAGAUCCUGGUGGAAACGAAAAGGCCAUGAAUUAUAGUGACAGAUUCAAGCAUCAUUUCCGCGAUUUGAGUAGGAUUAUAUUUUCAAAUUGC